UCGGAGGCGGGGCAGGCAGGGAGUAUGCACUCAAGACAACACGACGCGCGGCAUCUAAAUCUGAGAAGCCCGGAGUUGGUUCUGACUGAAUCCCGCCCCGGCGCUCCAACUCCGCACCCCCGAGGCCCCGCCCCGGCGCGUAGACAUGGCGGCGUCCUGUGGGCUUUGGGACUGAGGACCCGAGCCGCUGGGCCGCUGUCCUGAAGCGCCACCCGGAGGUGCUGAGGGCGCGCGCGGGCCCUCGGGGACGGCUGGAAGCCCUGGACAGAUGGUAUCGAGAGGAGUUGCCUGCGGCCAUCAAGGGCCGAGUAGAGAAGCAUGUGACACGAGAUGACCUGGAGCAGUUGCUGGCGUGGAAACUGGCAAGGGGCCUUUUCCGGCCGCGCCUGCAGCAACUCGUGACCGUCAACUCCCCGGAGCUGGUGGUGCAGCGUUCGGCCGCCGCUUUCCGCCUCCUGCCAGACAUGCACGCAGCGGUCAUGGAAUUGUGCGCUCUCCAGGGUGUGGGCCCCGCUACUGCCUUGGCGAUCCUGGCUGCUGGAGCUCCCGAGGUGGCCGCUUUCAUGUCUGAGGAGGCAGUGGCCGCAGUGCCUGGUUUGCCAGCCCUGCAGUACACUCUCAAGCACUAUCUGCUGUACUUGUGCAGGGUGCAAGAGCGUGCCACAGCCCUGAGCCGAGGCAGGGCCUCAGGGCUGUGGACCCCUCACCACAUGGAGACAGCACUGUGGACAUGGGCUAUGGGGCAGAAGCUGUGCCCUGAUCUACUGCCUGAUCUCAGUCCCAGCCUAGCCACCCCCGACGACACCAGGCCAGCCAAGAAGCGCAGGACCCAGGUGGACUAACUUGGCUGUGGCCCAGAACCUGGUCACCUGCCAUAUGACCUUAGGCUGCAAGUGUCUCUGGACAGCAGGCUGGCAGAGCAGGAGGCUGGCUGCUGCAGAAGCUCAAUAAAUGCUUAUUGUACUCA